UACGUAGGGGGCAAGCGUUGUCCGGAUUCAUUGGGCGUAAAGAGCGUGUAGGCGGCCAGGUAGGUCGGUUGUGAAAACUGGAGGCUCAACCUUCAGAGGUCGACCGAAACCAUCUGGCUAGAGUCCGGGAGAGGCGCGUGGAAUUGCAGGUGUAGCGGUGAAAUGCGUAGAUAUCUGCAGGAACACCCGUGGCGAAAGCGGCGCGCUGGACCACUACUGACGCUGAGGAACGAAAGCUAGGGGAGCAAACAGG
rnacentral:rRNA from 1 species